UGUGGACUGUGAUAAGGAGAGUCCUAUAACCAUGAGUGCACCUCUGUGUGCUUCUCUGACUCUUUCAUUCCUCCGCUCCCCUCCUUCCUUUGCACCCUUUGUUAUAGCCUAUCUCAGGUGAAUUGUAAUCAUGUGAUCAAAUGAGCACCCCCUUCCCCCUGAAAUGAAAAAAAAAUGGGGGGUUGAAGGACAAAAAGCAGUUUUGUGCAUACGAAAAAAGAAAAGAAGCAAAAGGCUUGUGUCUUCCCUUCCACGGCCACUCUUUAUCCGCGUCUCAACAAACUGUGACAGAGGGAAAAAUGCACCAGGAGCGCGGAGGCUCAGCCACGGAGCUGUGAAGGGACUGUCCGAAUCCUGGCGCUUCAAACCGGGCACCUGCAGAGAGACACUCCGGGGAUUAUUCUGCCGCUGCGCAGAUGAGGAUUUACGGGCCUCCCUUUGAAAUUAUCAACCUACACGUACUGUAUGCAAUGAUGUCAAUAAAUGGAUGACAAUUGUACGGAGUUGGUCAGCGCCCGCAUUGAUGUGAAGACCAAGCAAAUGGACCAUAUGUGAGUGCCACUGGCUGGAGUUGACUUUCAGUUUUCAGAAACGCAGUAGAUGUUUCACAGCUACUGGUUUAUGAUUCUAAAUUGUGAUAAUAAAAUCCAGUGAGCACAAAAACAAAAA